AACGAACGCUGGCGGCGUGGAUAAGACAUGCAAGUCGAACGGGACAGACCGAGUAGCAAUAUUUGGAAUAUUCAGUGGCGAACGGGUGCGUAACACGUGGAUAACAUUCCGGAAAGCGGGGAAUAGCCCAGGGAAACUUGGAUUAAUACCGCAUGCGGCCGCAAGGCUAAAGACGGGGACCGCAAGGCCUGUCACUUUCCGAUUGGUCCGCGGCCUAUCAGCUAGUUGGCGGGGUAAUGGCCCACCAAGGCUACGACGGGUAGCUGGUCUUAGAGGACGACCAGCCACACUGGAACUGAGACACGGUCCAGACACCUACGGGUGGCAGCAGUCGAGAAUCUUUCACAAUGGGGGCAACCCUGAUGGAGCGACGCCGCGUGGAGGAUAAGGUCUUCGGAUUGUAAACUCCUGUCAUGCGAGAACAAGGUACUCAGGCUAAUAACCUGAUUGUUUGAUGGUACCGCAAGAGGAAGAGACGGCUAACUCUGUGCCAGCCGCCGCCGUAAAAC
rnacentral:rRNA from 1 species